UGUGAUCCGCAGGACACAUGUACAUCSACUCUUUGAACGCAAAUGGCGCCCCUCK
rnacentral:rRNA from 1 species